AUGUUCUUCCUUUUCUCUUUUAGAUUUCUCAUUUUUCUGUCCCAGCAUGUACUCACUUUCACAUAUUUAGGUUAUUUGAUGGUUGUUAUCCAAUUGGGGGCUGAAAUGUAUUUAUCUGACACACAAGUUCAGAUGAGCUCUCAAUGGAAGCUUCUGAUUUGGUGCAUGAUUAAAUUUUUUCUCUCUCUUCAAGAGCUGAAUUUUGGGUACAAGAAUGCUACUUUUGGGCAGCAAAGGAAGAGAUCUAAUCCCUUACUAAAGAGAUGCUCUCCGGUGUUAUUCAGAGUGGUCGAUAAUUUGCCAGAAGUUAUUACCAUGUUAUGCUCACUUUACAGUAAAAGCUGGAUAUUUUUUAUUGGUUGCUGCCAGAAUGGUUAAUGAUUGCUCCCGGUCUAAUGGAGUGUUGAUUUGAGUGUUAUCUGGUUGAAGUUCAUCAAAAAUUGAGUGGUUGGGCAACCUUUUC